GAUGAACGCUGGCGGCGUGCCUAAUACAUGCAAGUCGAGCGAACUUUUGGGAGCUUGCUCCCAGAAGUUAGCGGCGGACGGGUGAGUAACACGUGGGUAACCUGCCUGUAAGACUGGGAUAACUUCGGGAAACCGGAGCUAAUACCGGAUAACAUUGAAGACAACAUGGCCUUCAAUUAAAAGGUGGCUUUUAGCUACCACUUACAGAUGGACCCGCGGCGCAUUAGCUAGUUGGUGAGGUAACGGCUCACCAAGGCGACGAUGCGUAGCCGACCUGAGAGGGUGAUCGGCCACACUGGGACUGAGACACGGCCCAGACUCCUACGGGAGGCAGCAGUAGGGAAUCUUCCGCAAUGGACGAAAGUCUGACGGAGCAACGCCGCGGGAGCGAAGAAGGCCUUCGGGUCGUAAAGCUCUGUUGUUAGGGAAGAACAAGUAUCGUUCGAAUAGGGCGGUACCUUGACGGUACCUAACCAGAAAGCCACGGCUAACUACGUG
rnacentral:rRNA from 1 species